UGGUGUCUGGCUUCAACAUUGUUUGGACAGAACCCA
rfam:Otolemur garnettii contig184438, whole genome shotgun sequence.